rnacentral:rRNA from 1 species
UACGUAGGGUGCGAGCGUUAAUCGGAAUUACUGGGCGUAAAGCGUGCGCAGGCGGUUUUGUAAGCCAGAUGUGAAAUCCCCGGGCUCAACCUGGGAAUGGCAUUUGGGACUGCAAGGCUGGAGUGCGGCAGAGGAGACUGGAAUUCCUGGUGUAGCAGUGAAAUGCGUAGAGAUGUGGAGGAAUACCGAUGGCGAAGGCAGCCUCCUGGGCCAACACUGACGCUCAUGCACGAAAGCGUGGGGAGCAAAUAGG